rnacentral:lncRNA from 1 species
GAAUAUUCAUGUAAACUCCACCCACGGGAAUAUUACACAACAGGACUGGAAAUUCCAGCAUAUAAAGAAUUACAAUAAUCCAAUCGAGAUAAAACGAUUUGAGUUUAAAUUUAAUGCAGCCUUUGACCUUCCUUAUUUGAAGGAACCUUUUAAAAAUAUGUCAUAUAACUCGCACAUCCUCUAGUCCUGUCCGUGAUAAAAGAGUGCUGUCUUGAGGAACAUUUUCCCGGGAUCUGGCGACCGCUCUCCUCAUGAAUGAAAGUGAAAGUAACGAACAGAGUUGAUGUGGCCAUUUUAAACAGACAGAACCGAUGAUCUACAACACAUUAUAUAUUUAAAUCUUUAAUAGAAUCGCUAAUAAAUGCUAAAGCAGGAGUUUGUGUGGAGUUACCGGAUGGGAAUGUGAAUCGCUCAGUUCAUCAGAAGAGAUCAGAAGCAGAGUUCAGCUGUGUGUCUGUGAAGAGUGACUGGUCUAUGGAUCCACCAAUGAAGUUUAAGAGUGGAGAUUCACAGCCUGAUCUCAGGUAUAACGUUUGUAUGAAAAUGUGAUUAUAACAUGACUUUUAAUAUUGUCAUAUAUUAUGUUCACAGUUAUGUUCACAGUUUUUGUAUAAAUAGUAUAUGAGUGAGUAUAAAGCGGGGUUUAUGUAAAUUUCGGGAAGUAACUUCUUGUAGUCCCUACCAGCUGUUUUUAUAACAU